CCCGCAGGGCAACCUGCCUGUAAGACUGGGAUAACUCCGGGAAACCGGGGCUAAUACCGGAUAAUUCAUUCCCUCACAUGAGGGAAUGCUGAAAUACCGGUUCCGCUGUCCCUUUCACAAGGGGCCCCGGGGCCUUUACUUAAUUGGGAGGGAAACGGUCCCCCAAGGCCCCAAUGGUAACCCAACCUGGAAGGGGGUCCGGCCCCCUGGGAAAGGAAAACCGGCCCAAAUCCCAACGGAAGGAAAAAAAAGGAAAUUUUCCCCAAGGAAAAAAAUCUUAAAGAAAAAACCCCCGUGAGCGAAAAAAGGCCUUCGGGCCUAAAACUUUUUUUUCCAGGGAAAAAAAAUAUCCGAAAAAAUGGCCGGACCCUUACCGGACCCUAACCAAAAACCCCCGGUAAAUUCCCGGCCCCCACCCCGGGAAAUCCCAAGGGGGAAACGUUGUCCGGAAUUAUUGGGCGUAAAGCGCGCGCAGGCGGUCCUUUAAGUCUGAUGUGAAAAGCCCCACGGCUCAACCGUGGAGGGUCAUUGGAAACUGGGGGACUUGAGUGCAGAAGAGGAGAGCGGAAUUCCACGUGUAGCGGUGAAAUGCGUAGAGAUGUGGAGGAACACCAGUGGCGAAGGCGGCUCUCUGGUCUGUAACUGACGCUGAGGCGCGAAAGCGUGGGGAGCGAACAGGAUUAGAUACCCUGGUAGUCCACGCCGUAAACGAUGAGUGCUAAGUGUUAGAGGGUUUCCGCCCUUUAGUGCUGCAGCAAACGCAUUAAGCACUCCGCCUGGGGAGUACGGCCGCAAGGCUGAAACUCAAAGGAAUUGACGGGGGCCCGCACAAGCGGUGGAGCAUGUGGUUUAAUUCGAAGCAACGCGAAGAACCUUACCAGGUCUUGACAUCCUCUGCCACUCCUGGAGACAGGACGUUCCCCUUCGGGGGACAGAGUGACAGGUGGUGCAUGGUUGUCGUCAGCUCGUGUCGUGAGAUGUUGGGUUAAGUCCCGCAACGAGCGCAACCCUUGUUCUUAGUUGCCAGCAUUCAGUUGGGCACUCUAAGGAGACUGCCGGUGACAAACCGGAGGAAGGUGGGGAUGACGUCAAAUCAUCAUGCCCCUUAUGACCUGGGCUACACACGUGCUACAAUGGAUAGAACAAAGGGCAGCGAAGCCGCGAGGUGAAGCCAAUCCCAUAAAUCUAUUCUCAGUUCGGAUUGCAGGCUGCAACUCGCCUGCAUGAAGCCGGAAUCGCUAGUAAUCGCGGA
rnacentral:rRNA from 1 species